UUUGUCACGUGACCCAGCUUUGGGCAGGUUCGUCUCAGACGACAAAACCGAGGAUCGGAUGACUUCUGUGUUCAUUUGUCCACUUCUCGAAAGCUCUCCAGCACCUCGCCUCCUUUCGUCCUCCCGGAUUACCUUUGUGUCGUGACCAGAGGAGGUUUUUCCAGUGGAGAAGUUGCGGGGAGUCGGGUUUGUGUUGCAGAAGGGUGCGGGGAGUGAGUGGGACACAGCAAACACCGUCUGGCUGGCGGUUGAAUUGAACAUAGGGGCGGCCAUUGUUCGGGCAGUGUAGACACGUUUUAGUUCUGAGAAACUCCACUUUUUGUCCGCGUCAUUAAUGCUCAGUCCUUACUUAUUGUGCAAACAAUCUUCAACAUGGACUUGGACAGCGACGGGCUGGAUUUACUGAGGAAAAUCGCCAGUGCUGACUGAGGUUGCACUCUUUGUUGACGGCACACGCGUAGAGUUGAGAUUGCGUACGUGGCGGGAACUGUGACUGGUGAGAACCGACGGGUCUCCAGCAUGUCGGACUCACCGCCCCCCUCCCCAGACCUGGAUGAGAUCGAGAGCAAGUGUGACAACUUACUGGCCAGGCUGAGCAUGGACACACAAAACACACAGAGCCCCUCUCAGGGAGAAGGUGCCGCCUCCCAGGAAGAUUUGGCCUUGCAAAUCAACCAGGUGGGUUUUCUCACGUGCCUGUUUUUAUAGCUCAUGCCCAUAUAAACACACAGGUAGCAGUAGCACUUAACACUUACGCCAUGUGCUUCGCAAAAC